rnacentral:lncRNA from 1 species
CUUAGCGCAGUUCAAGUUACUUAGUGCGCUGGAAGCGGCAUUUCAGGCAAUCCAGCUUCUGGCUCGAACCUUCUCGGAGUAUUCCAAGGAUGGAAUACUCUCACUUGAGCGCUGCCGAGGGUGCCGCUUGAGGAAAACGUGAGUUUGUGAAGGGAACCGUGGCGGGGAAGUCUGGUUUCCGUCCUGCUGCUUUCCUUCAACUACAAGAUGGCUUCUCAAAAGGACGCAUGCAAUGCCAUUCCUCAAAGACAAAUGUUUAUUGCAGAUACAGUUCCACCACUGUACAUUAAGUAUGUGGAAAACAGAAGAUAUCCUUUUGGUUCCUGGGUCUCCAGAACAGUAGGAGCAAACAUCCAAAUCUGAUAUAGCACUUCCAGAGAGCCUGGUCUUGGAGGAUAAAACUUUACCUUGAUGGGACUUUUGGCCCCGGUCCCUUAAGAGUCACUGUGUUCCAUGUGUAUAAAGGGAAAAAAAAAAAAAAAACUAUUUGGUGACCAGAAGGGUGGAUUGUGGUAGAGACUUCUCUUAAAUUCACAUAUCCCAUUCUCCUUUUUUUGUAAGCCCAUGGGAGACUCUUUCCUACCCAUCUUUCCUUGCAUUUAGGCAGGGUCAUGUGAUUACUGCUGGCCAAUGAGUUGUCAGAGACACAUCCAAGAUGAAUAACUUAAUUGCUGGUGCAAGAUCUUUUAAUGCUGUAUUCUUCUGCCACAAUGGGGAGACCUCAUAUUGAAAUGGUACAGUCACAGACUGAAUCAGCUUGGAUUACCAGAAUCGCCAGUUGGAGAUCAGUUGCCUUUGCAGAUUGUGCAGACUCACAGUGAACUUCGGAUGUGCCAGAAAUAACUUUUGUGUUAAGUCACUGGGAUUUGGGGUUGUACUGCAGCACAACUCAGCCUAUCCUAAUACAUAUGGGAAUGCAAACAUCUCAGAUAUUUCUUCUUGGGUGCAAUUUAAAAUACGUAUGAAAUGGCUUCAGAAGUGUCCAUGAACCUUCAAAAUUACAUACAAGAAUUAGGGAGAUACAUUUUUCUGGGAACAUACAGAUGUUAAGACUUCCCUUCUCCGUCUCUAUAUUGCCAGAAGAGAGGGCCCCAGAAUUAAAACCCCAUCCUUCCUACAACACUCAGCUUUCUCUUUCAGGAAUAUCAGUACUAAUAUCACCAUGCCUUUUAUCUCUAGGAUAUCUUCAUCCCCUGUACCUUAAUUUCUGCAUGACUUCAUAGGGAGUCCAUAUUGCUUGAUUUUUCUCCAUAUCAUUAUCAUUGACAUAAAUUUUCCUUACAUUCUUAGAAUGUGUAUUUCCUCACCUUUUAGAUUUCUGGCUCUUAUGUUGACUGCUGUAUGCCUAGUACCUACCACACAACAGGUAUUCAACAAAUACUUUUUUUUUUUGAGACAGUCUCUGUCACCCAGGCUGGAGUGCAGUGGUACUAUCUUGGCUCACUGCAACCUCUGCCUCCCGGGUUCAAGCGAUUCUCCUGCCUCAGCCUCCCAAGUAGCAGGGAUUACAGCCCUGUGCCACCACGCCCAGCUAAUUUUUGUAUUUUUAGUAGAGAUGGGUUUUUGUCAUGUUGGCCAGGCUGGUCUCGAACUCCUGGUCUCAGGUGAUCUGCCCACUUUGGCCACCCAAAGUGCUGGGAUUACAGGCAUGAGCCACUGUGCCUGGCCUAACAAACACUUACUAAAUGACUAAACAAAUAAAAGAUAGUCUCUAACUUUCAUCAUAAUCUCAAAAGAGCUUCAUGACCUGGAAGAAGUUUAGACACAAAUGGGUAGGCAAAGUAUUUCUUAAUUGCUGGUGCAAGACCUUACCCUUGUCUUAAUAAUUAUCCUGUCUAAGUAAUACACCUUUUAAGAAACCCCUGAAAGGAAGAUGAUCGUCCUUGGUAGAUACUGAAAUCUGAGGUAAAGUGGCCCAUAAACUGUUGUGAAAUAGAGAAUUUCUAAAACAUGUAGGGUAUUUUGAAUAUAGCUGAGAAAGCUGCUAUAAACUGAAGGUUUACGUCCCCUACAACAUUCACAAAUCCCAAAUGUGAUGGUAUUUGGAGAUAGGGCCUUUGAGAAGUGAUUAGGUCAUGAGGAUGGAACCCUCAUGAAUGGGCUGCAUGAAAAAGGACCCACAGAGAUGCCUUGUACUUUUCCCAUGUGAGGACACAGCAAGAAAGCACUGUCUUUAUGAACAGAAGUGGGCCCUCACCAGACCCCAAGUCUACUGGCACCUUGAUCUUGAAGUUCCCAGCUCCCAGAACUGUGAGAAAUAAAUUUUUGUUAAUACACCACAUAGUUUAUGGUAUUUUAUUAUAGCAGCCUGAGUGGACUAAGACAUAAGCAAAUGCAUUGUUGAUAAAACAUUCUGUCAAUAACGUAAACUGUGAAAAUUCCAGGACCAAUCUUGUAACAUGAGAUAAAUAAGAAUAUUUAUUAUGCAUGUUUUAUACAGUAACACCAAAAUAACGCUCAAUAAGUUACACAGCUGUUUUCUAGAAACAUGGCAAAAGAAAAAAAAAACAGUAGGAAUAAUAUGUAUUACUCAAAAUUGAAAAUAUGGUCUUCUUUUAAACAGAUUUGAAUUCAUGAUUUCUACAUAAACAAAAACAUCAUAAAUAUCUAGAAAUAAUCUUUUUUAACAAUGCACUAGAUACUAUCUAAAGGCUCAAUUUUAUUGCACAUAUUUGGUUUAGGCUUAUUUGAUCAAUACAUGCAGAAAAAUAAAUUACAAACGUGAAUUUUUAAAAGGAAUCAGGAUGUCAUUUUGUACUACAAAAAUUAGAUGAGGGUUGAUACAUUUCACAGCUUAAUCUUCAGAAAAUUUUCUUCAGCUAUUGCAUAAAAUCACUGAUUAAAAUCAUCACACAUGGAAGCUAAGAACUAUUAAAUACAGUAAAAUAGCUCUGUUGGUACAUUUAAAAUAAGAGAACAGGCAUCAACUAUUCUUUGAAUUGAUACCAACUGUCUUCUUUUUAUUUAUUUUUGAGACAGGGUCUCACUCCGUCACUCUGCAGGAAUGCAGUGGUGUGAUCAUGGUUCACUGCACCUUGACCUCCUGGGCUCAAGCAUCUUCCCCACUCAGCCUCCCAACAGCAUGAGCCACCAUGCCUGGCUAACAAAUUGAUACCAACUAUCACUCUUCUCAGCUAACUAAAAAGGUGGUCUUCACAAGUUUUAAGAACAUUAAAUGACAAUAUUGGCACAAUCAAUAUUUUAUCAUUUUAUAUUUGGAAAAAAACGGGAAGCUGGGGUAAAC